CCCUAGCCACGAUUGCAGCAUUGUUUGAGCUCAUUUUUUUAUUUUCGGCGGCGGCAAAGCCGCCGCCGAAAAUAAAAAAUAGCGAGUGCGGAAAGCGGGAAAAAGC
rnacentral:misc_RNA from 1 species